UCCCUUGUGGUCUAGUGUUUAGACUCUGCAUUUCCAAAGCAGGGAAUGCAGGUUCGAGCCCUGGUUGGAGAA
rnacentral:tRNA from 1 species